ACCCUCUCCUCUCCCACUCCCUCUCCCAUUCCAUUCACAUCAAGAUUCAUUUUCAAUUUUCUUUAUAUACAGAAGAUCAAUUUAGCAUAUAUUAAGUACAGAUUUCAACAGUUUGCACCCACACAGAACAUAAAGUGUAAAAUACUGUUUGAGUACUAGUUAUAGCAUUAAUUCACAUUGAACAACACAUUAAGGACAGAGAUCCUACAUGAGGAGUAAGUGUGCAGUGACUCCUGUUGUUGACUUAACAAAUUACACUCUUUUUUAUGGCGUCAGUAAUCUCCCUGGGCUCUAGUCAUGAGUUGCCUUUUCAGUUCGCCAACUUCGAUCUUAUUUAGACAAGGUUACAGUCAAAGUGGAAGUUCUCCCUUCAGAGAAAGGCACCUCCUUCUUUGAUGGCCUGUUCUUUCCACUGGGAUCUCACUCACAGAGAUCUUUCAUUUCGUUUUUUGUUGUUGUUGUUGUUGUUGUUGUUGUUGUUUUGUUUUGUUUUGUUUUUUGCCAGACUGUCUUGGCUUUCCAUGCCUAAAAUACUCUCAUGGGCUCUUUUGUCGCUGUUUCCUUUGGGUUUUCUUAAGCACUGCUUAAAUAGGGCCUGAGUCUUGGCAUUUCUUAGGUGCAAAUCCCAGUUGUUAUAUAGGAGUGGUAAGAUGAAUGGAGAGGGAGCUCAUUCCAUGGUCCUAUGAUUGCAUCUGUCUUUCUGUGAGCCUGGGUCACACAGCUCCCUGCUCCCCCCAGAAAGGCUUGAAUAGGAGGGAGUGUGGUAUUUCUCUGUCUCCAGGUCAGAGAAGGCUUUGGUAAAAUAGCAGCUGGUUAGGCUCUGCUUGAUAGUUUCCUUUUCCAGUACAGCUUAUGAAUAGGAACAAAAAGGGGCUGGGGUUGAGGUGUAGCGGGUUGGGCCACUGUCUGCAAUGCCAGCCUUCCAUAUGGGCAACGGUUUGCGUCCCAGCUGCUCCAUUUGUUCCAGGCUCCUGGCUUUGGCCUGGCCCAGCCCUGGGCCACCGUGGCCAUUUUGGGGGUAAACCGGGAGAUGGAAGAUGUUUCUCUCUUUGUCUCGCCUUCUCUCUAAUUCUGACUUUCAAAUAAAUAAACACAUACAUAAUGCUUAAAUAGGAGUGAAAAGGUCUCGGUGUGUUUCAAACUGGUUCCUCUUUCUCUCUUAUGCACAGAAGCACCAGAGACCCUGGACAUGAUGCUCACAAGGCUGAGGCCUCCCUUAAGACUGGGCUCGCUUGGGCCUUAUAACUCUCAAGCUAUUCUCUCCUGAGCCACCAGCUGUUUGCCAAUGCCUAUUUAAUGGUUCCCACUGACACAGGUGCCUCUUGGGCGCUGCUGCUUCCUGAACUCCCUGGUGCUCUGUGUCGGCCCCUCUGCGGCUCUGGGAUUCCGGGCAGCAGCAUGCUUCCUGGCCCCAGAUCUCUGAUGGCUCCAAGAAGACAUGUUCUUCAGUUCAUUCAGCACUUUUCCCGCGGGGAAGAAGGAUAUGACGGCUUCUUGGGUCUUCACAUGCCAGUUUGGAAAGACAAAGACCUCUUGCUAUCCAUCUUUAGUUUGGUUGUCGCCUCCCUAGUGCAUGAUAGAUUUUUCUUGUACAUUCUGGAUUGUGAUGUCAUUUCUCUUUCAGUUUCCGUUUUCAGUUUCUCUCUGCUGGUGUAUUUCCUAUGUGGACCUUGUCUUCUGAAAACUUGAUAAAUUAAAUGACCAGCUCUAGUGGCAUGCUUGUAGAUCCUGGAGGAUUUUUAGACACAUAAUGAUGUUGUCUACAAAUAUGUUUAUUUGUGGUUUUUUGUUUUGUUUUGUUUUUUUUCUCCCUACAGUAUUGUGUUUUUUUUCUUGACUUAUUGGCACUAUCUAAAGCAUCAUGGACAAAAACGAAUUAAAUGCCGGGAGAACACAGAAAUUUUAAUUCCAGCUGUCAAAUAGUAGGAUCGAACUAAAUGUCCGUCAGCAGAUGUAAAGAAGUGUAACUUUGGACUCGAGAAGAUACACCAAACAACUCUUUUUUGGGUUGCUUUUGUGAAUAAUACAUUAACAAGCUUUCAGAAGUCAUCUUUUCGACUUAAAAGUGAGAAGAGAGAAGGGAAAAACUAAUUUGCAAGAGGCAGAAUUUUGGGUUCUCUGUUGACUUAUUUUAAAAUGACUUCAUCCUUCUGAGCCUUGCUUUAGU